GACGAAAUGUUUGGUUUCUUUAACAACUCAGCUGUGUCACGUAAUGUUUUCUGGAAGGUGUCUUGUGAGAGGGCAUGUGAUAUUGUGAUGAAAACAGACACUUGAGAGGGUGUGUGGUGGUUAGAAUGAAUAUAAAUGGAACCCCACAAACAGUGAGAGAACAUUCUUGCAUUGCUACAGGGUACAAUGGUUUGUUUUGUCACUGAUCUUCAUUUCCUGGCUGAUUGACUUAUUAUAAUUUGGUGGAGUUCUGCUGUUUCUGCUGGAUAAUGCUGCCAAUAUUGAUUUGUCUUUGGUACUUGUUAUUGAACUGGACUGCUAGUAUCCUGACAAUGAAAAGUGGAAUUGCCCCCAAUGAACUACUUCUAAACAGCGAUGACCUUAGCUCUAUGGGGAGCAAAAAAUUGAUGACAGCCUCAGGCCAAUAUUUAUUAAGAAAACCAGGUCUCAAUGCAACAGCCAUGAGGAACUCACUCCUGUUAACAUCCCUGCAUGUAUAUGGAAGAAGUUCCUUCUGCGUCUCAGCCAGUGCCUCAGUAACAGCCUUAGGUGGGACCCAGAGCUGGCAGCUUAGUGCUGUGUGGAUGAACCAUGAAGGAGAAACCCAGAAGAGCCUUGCCUAGACUCCAGUCUCAGGUUGUGUAUUACCCCGGAGUGCAAGAAGAUUCCAAUGAAGUAACAUCAUGGCUCCCACUGAUGCCCAGUGAUGUCACUGCCCAACACCUGCCUUGCAUUUGUGGUAAGGCUGUGGUAGACACCCCUGCACUACCGCUUAUAUAAAAGUAUAACC